GAACGCCGUGUGCGGUGAAAGUCGCAUGCACGGUGUGAAGUGGGGGAAAAUUCAGAGAUAACAUCAAAGGAUUACCUAUCACUAU
rnacentral:ncRNA from 1 species